AUUGCCCUUACGGCUCAGUAACACGUGGAUAACAUGCCCUAAGGUGGGGGAUAAUCUCGGGAAACUGAGGGUAAUACCCCAUAGGUCUGAUAUGCUGGAAUGCUUUCAGGCCGAAAACUCCGGUGCCUUAGGAUUGGUCUGCGGUCUAUCAGGCUGUAGUGGGUGUAACGGACCCACUAGCCCGUGACGGAUAUGGGCCUUGAGAGAGGGAGCCCAGAGAUGGACUCUGAGACAUGAGUCCAGGCCCUACGGGGCGCAGCAGUCGCGAAAACUUCGCAAUGGGGGCAACCCCGACGAGGGAAUUCCAAGUGCCAGCACUUUGUGUUGGCUGUUCUCCUGUCUAAAAAACAGGAGGAGUAAGGGGCGGGUAAGACGGGUGCCAGCCGCCGCGGUAAUACCCGCGCCCCUAGUGGUGGUCGAUAUUAUUGAGCCUAAAACGUCCGUAGCCGGUCUUUUAAAUCCUUGGGUAAAUCGGGCAGCUUAACUGUCCGAAGUCCGGGGAGACUGGAAGACUUGGGACCGGGAGAGGUCAGAGGUACUUCUGGGGUAGGGGUAAAAUCCUGUAAUCCUGGAAGGACCACCGGUGGCGAAGGCGUCUGACUAGAACGGAUCCGACGGUGAGGGACGAAGCCCUGGGGCGCAAACGGGAUUAGAUACCCCGGCAGUCCAGGGUGUAAACGCUGCGGGCUUGGUGUUGGGGGUCCUUAGUGGGCGCCCAGUGCCGGAGAGAAGUUGUUAAGCCUGCUGCUUGGGGAGUAUGUCCGCAAGGAUGAAACUUAAAGGAAUUGGCGGGGGAGCAC
rnacentral:rRNA from 1 species